rnacentral:rRNA from 1 species
UCGAACGCGAAAGCCCCCUUCGGGGGGCAAGUAGAGUGGCGCACGGGUGAGUAACACGUAGGUAAUCUACCUUUGGAUGGGGAAUAACAACCGGAAACGGUUGCUAAUACCGCAUAAUGCAGCGGCACCUAAUGGUGACAGUUGUUAAAGCGGGGGAUCGCAAGACCUCGCGUCUGAAGAGGAGCCUGCGGCGGAUUAGCUAGUUGGUAAGGUAACGGCUUACCAAGGCUAUGAUCCGUAGCCGGCCUGAGAGGGCGGUCGGCCACACUGACACUGACAUACGGGUCAGACUCCUACGGGAGGCAGCAGUCGGGAAUUUUGGGCAAUGGGCGAAAGCCUGACCCAGCAACGCCGCGUGAAGGAUGAAAUCCUUCGGGAUGUAAACUUCGCAAGAACAGGAAGAAUAAGUCGGUGACAAUACCACCGAUGAUGACGGUACUGUUUGUAAGCUCCGGCUAACUCCGUGCCAGCAGCCGCGGUAAUACGGGGGGAGCAAGCGUUGUUCGGAUUUACUGGGCGUAAAGGGCGCGUAGGCGGCCACCGCAAGUCAACUGUGAAAUCUCCGGGCUUAACCCGGAAAGGUCAGCCGAUACUGCGGGGCUAGAGUGCAGAAGGGGCAACUGGAAUUCUCGGUGUAGCGGUGAAAUGCGUAGAUAUCGAGAGGAAC